GGGGAUGUGGCUCAGUGGUAGAGUACUUGCCUAGCAUGCAUGAGGCCUUAGGUUCCAACUCUAGCACUCACA
rnacentral:tRNA from 1 species